UUAAGAGUUGCUGAGAAGACUACGGGUCUGUUCUUCUCGUACAACGCCAAUUUAACUCUCAGGUUUCUCUUUUAAGUAUUACAAUCUGAACUGUGACUCUUUAUUAGCUCGUUCUCUCAUUUGGAAAGCAAGCUCGUGAUGCAAAUGAGUCAGAGUCUCCUUUGGGAACAAGACAAUCAUAUGAUGGAAGUAAUCUUUAGGAAGUUUAUGAUAUUGUUUUAG